rnacentral:misc_RNA from 1 species
GAAAUGCGAUAAGUAGUGUGAAUUGCAGAAUUCAGUGAAUCAUCGAAUCUUUGAACGCACAUUGCGCCCCUCGGUAUUCCGUGGGGCAUGCCUGUUCGAGCGUCAUUUCAACCAUCAAGCCCCCGGGCUUGUGUUGGGGACCUGCGGCUGCCCGCAGGCCCUGAAAACCAGUGGCGGGCUCGCUGUCACACCGAGCGUAGUAGCAAUCACCUCGCUCAGGGCGUGCUGCGGGUUCCGGCCGUUAAACAGCCUUACAAAACCCAAGGUUGACCUCGGAUCAGGUAGGAAGACCCGCUGAACUUAAGC